rnacentral:tRNA from 2 species
GCGGGAGUGGUGGAACGGUAGACACGCAGGAUUUAGGUUCCUGUGCCGCAAGGCGUGAGGGUUCGAGUCCCUCCUUCCGCACCG